rnacentral:lncRNA from 1 species
ACCAACCGGGUGUUGGUCCCGUUUCACGUAAAGUCUCCAAGGCAUUUGUUACUGCAACCACUUCUGGAAAUCCAAAACUUUUUGAAGGAAGAAAGCCCAUUGUAGGCGGGCGAGACUUUUUGACGAUCGGUAAAGGUGGGACGGACUGCUAAGUGGGUAAGUGGUCUAUAAGGAGGAAAAUUACCAAAAGCUCAUCAAGGUUGGAAAAAACUACCAGAAGCUCAUAAGGGCUGAAAAAUACCCAAGAGUUCGUUAGGGCUAGUCGGGGCGAGAAAAUAAUCGAAAGCUCGUUAGGACUAGAAAAUGCCUGGAAGCUCGAUACGGCUGAAAAAUGCUCGGAAGCUCACUAAGGCUAGAGAAAACCCGAAAAUUCGCCAAAGCAUUAUUAUAUCGCUCGGAUUAAUUUUGAUCAAGCACUAGACAAGAUCUUGAAUCGAGCUGGUCGGCAGAGCGAGUAGAAAGAAAGUAAGAACAACACGCCCUUAGUACUUCAAAUAUUAUAUAAUAAUAACACAAAGAAGGUCAUGUGCUGAUAUUCGAAGACAGGGUCACGUGGUAAGGGUUUGAUUAUGUGAUACUCGGUCCCACCGAGGGAAAAAAAAAGACCCGAACGCUUUAAGUCUCGAGUUCAUAUAAAGACUUGCCCUCCCCUGAAGAGGUCGGGUCUUCACAGAAAAUUACCGUUAGUUGCUACAAUCCAACAAACUCACUUUACACCUAUCAUUAUGGGAUUUUCGAUCAAUUAGCCAAUGAAAUUCCUUAUCAACGAGCCGGUCAUAUCAUUGCCGGAUUUACAGAAAAUAUUAUAAUUAACUCUUUUUUUACAGCAUAAAAACUAGUGGUUACAGAGAUAAAUAUAUGC